UGGAGUACCCAAAUAAACUCGGCUUUGCUGUUUACACCAAGUUGUCCUGGAGUGGUGUAACAUUUUGGAGGUCCGACCGAGAUCGUUUUUGGGACUACUUCACACAGAGGAACACGGCAGGGAGCUAACACGGUAAAGGAGCGUGACAGAGCAAAGGGGCUAAUGCUAACGGAUUGCAACAGUCUAGCUAAUGCGACGCAAACUGUUGUGCUUUCUCCGGUCGAUACGCUGAGAGAGCUUCACUCAUCUUAGUUUUCUUUUAAGCAUGUCUGUGAACCGUGAAGAUUUUUUGUUGGAGUUGGAGCAGAAGUUAUGUGGACUUUCUGUGGAAGAACUGCUCAGAGUAUGUGAACUAUGUAAUAUUACAGAAAAGGACAGCGAAGAAAUACAAAGCAAAUCUCGAAGAGCUCUCGUUAAGCUUAUUAGCCAGUUCAGUGAACGAGAAGAAUUUUUGCAACGAGAGGAUGAAGGCAUGUCGGUGCUUCUGGAGCUAAAUGAUGUGCUGGUUUUGCUGGUGGAGGCGCGGUCAGCGGCUGAAGGCGCGGGAGCGGCGGCCCGGUCUUCAUCUUCAGACAGAGCGGGGAUGACGGCGGAGGCUGUGCACGAGGGGCAACUGGCAGUGGCGCGGGCACCUCCGGAGCGGCGGACAGGGCCGAUGACAUCGCUGGAGCAUCAGGCGGCUCAAGGGACAUCAGCGGAGCGGCAGGUGUCCAUGAGGACGUCGCUGGACAGCGAAACACAGCGCAGGGGGAGAGACUGCAUUGGCAACAGCUGCUGCAAUGUUUCAUCAGGUGGAUUCAGAAAAGACUUCAGGAUAAGUGGACAUGUGGGUGAGUCAACAACUAAAGACAUGCUGAAGAGUUUCAAGCAGAUAUGGUGAAUGGACAGGAUAACACUAAACAUGACAUCUCAGCAUCAUCAGACACUGUUGCUUCUCCAGAUCAGCCCAGUGAAACGAACCCAGAACUGUCGGAACCGCAGCCGAGAAGAUCUCAAAGGGAGAGAUGUCCCCGGAAAAUAUUGACUUAUGAUGCAUUUGGCCAACCAGUUCAAAGAGUAAUUGGUCACAGUGUUCACCCAUUGUAUGCCAGUGAAACAGCAUCUCCAUUCUAUGAACAGUUUGGAGUACCUUGGGCAGCUCUAUAAAUGCCUUACUAUCCAGCUUAUGUACCAGUUAGUUAUUAUCGAACUGUGAAAGAGUUUUUCUGAAUUUAAAUUGUGUUAUUUUUCAAAAAUGUAUGAGUACUUACAAGGUCUUACCAGUAUGGUGACACAAGUAUUUGAUGCUUUUGGGAUGGUAGCGUAAGACAUUGGAUUGUGUUGUUUAAUGAGGUUAAUUGUGAUUAAAUGGUUACUAUCUAAGUUGACAAGCUCCGGAGCACGUGAUAAAGUGAUAGUAAUGUCUUAGAGGGUAAUAUUUCUAUGUGCACUAUUGGAAACAACUCAGUGUAACAAGUGUCACCUGGCAGUUUGUUGCUCUCUGCCAGGUGAUUGGCUGAAAGAGCUGUGAAAAGGUAGUGGGUGUGUGGGGUGAAGUCAGCGCUCUUCUGUGGAAGAAACCAGAGGCAAUUAAUUCACUCGGGUGCGAGUGGGUAUACUGUCGUGUGACCACCAAUUUUAAUAGAAGAAUUGAUCAAGCCCUAGAUUGACUGCGCGCAGGGAAACUGAUCAAUAUUCUGUGCUGUCUCUGCUGUCCUUUUUUCGUUUUUUUUUUUUUUGAUUGAUUUGUAAUUUUCUUUUGGUUAGUCCGUCCAGCCGUAAAGGCGGUUAUUGAUUGAGAGUGAGUUGUGUAAGGGCGGACUAACCUCCCUUUUUUGCUUUAUUUGUUAAAUUGUUUGUGCCACUUCCCUUUGUCUCCCAGAUUGCAGGCCAUGCAUAGCGCUGAUUCCCAGCUGCGCUGAGACCUGAAUUGUUUGCAGUGCGUGUCACGGUUGCAGUGUCGUUAAGCGGGGUGUGACGGGUUGCAGUGUAGUUCUAUUCGCACAGUUAGUGUGGUAAGUCUCAGGUGCAGCUGGGAUAGCAGCAGGAUGUGUUGUAAGUCCUGUCUGGAAAUAAGGGGAAUUUGUAUGUUUAAUUAAUGUAAUAAAUAAAUGAUCAAUUUAUUUCUUUGCCCCGUUUACUCGUACCUUGUCCUCGGUUACAUCAGCAUUGUUAUCAGGCCUAUUCUUAUCUGGUAAGAGAGUAACAUGUGAUUCUGUCACCUGAGGUCCAAUAGUGCAUGGUGAAAGUGAUCUUAAAGCACUGCUAAACCCUAUCCCAACUUACGCCAUCUCCACAUUGUCACAAGGUAAAAAGAAGUAUAUUUGUUUAUUUUUGUUUCUUAUUGUCAUGUUUUGUCAAUGUUGGGACAACAUUUAUUUAGCAGGGGAGGAAUGUAGCACUUGGUAAAGUGUAAAGCUAAAAUAUGUCUAGAACAUUGCCUAAAUCUGUUGGCAUUUGUGUUAUUCAACUAUAUGUUUGGAUUUUUGGCUGCUACAUGUUUUCCACCAGUAGAGGGCAGUCACAGCAAAAAGAAAAGAAAACAAUGUUCUGUAAAAAAAAAAAAGAAGAAAAAAAAGAAGAGUAUUCUUGGGUUCUGUAUGUGAAAGCCACGGUUCUGGAGUACCCAAAUAAACUCGGUUUUGCUGUUUACACCAA